UACGUAGGAUCCAAGCGUUGUCCGGAUUUACUGGGUGUAAAGGGUGCGCAGGCGGACUGGUAAGUCUGGGGUGAAAUCUCGCCGCUUAACGGCGAAACUGCCUUAGAUACUAUCAGUCUUGAAUCAGCGAGAGGUUCGUGGAAUUCCGAGUGUAGCAGUGAAAUGUGUAGAUAUUCGGAAGAACACCAGUGGCGAAGGCAGCGAACUGGCGCUCGAUUGAGCGCUCAGGCACGAAAGCAUGGGGAUCAAACAGG
rnacentral:rRNA from 1 species